GCGUAAUAGCUCACUAGUCGAGUGACUCUGCGCCGAAAAUGUACCGGGGCUAAAUACACCACCGAAGCUGCGAAUUGAUACCUAUGGUAUCAGUGGUAGGGGAGCGUUCUAAGGGCAGUGAAGUCAGACCGUAAGGACUGGUGGAGCGCUUAGAAGUGAGAAUGCCGGUAUGAGUAGCGAAAGACGGGUGAGAAUCCCGUCC
rnacentral:rRNA from 1 species